CCUACGGGAGGCUGCAGUGGGGAAUAUUGCACAAUGGGGGAAACCCUGAUGCAGCUACGCCGCGUGUGUGAAGAAGUACUUCGUUAUGUAAAGCUCUAUCAUCAGGGAAGAAAAGUACGUUACCUGUGUAAGAAGCCCCGGCUAACUACGUGCUAGCAGCCGCGGGAAUACGUAGUGGGCAAGCGUUAUCCGGAUUUACUGGUGGGAAAGGGAGCGUAGACUGCGGUGCAAGUCUGGAGUGAAAGGCGUGGUCUCAACCACGGGACUGCGCUCAAAACUGUACGGCUGGAGUGCAGGAGAGGUAAGUGGAAUUCCUAGUGUAGCGGUGAAAUGCGUAGAUAUUAGGAGGAACACCAGUGGCGAAGGCGGCUUACUGGACUGUAACUGACGUUGAGGCACGAAAGCGUGGGGAGCAAACAGGAUUAGAUACCCUAGUAGUC
rnacentral:rRNA from 1 species